GAAUUGCGAAAAGUAAUGUGAAUUGCAGAAUUCCGUGAAUCAUCGAAUCUUUGAACGCAUAUUGCGCCCCCUGGUUCUCCAGGGAGCAUGCCUGUUUGAGUAUCAGUAACACCCUCACCACCCCCUCGGGGGUUGUGGAUUUAUGAAUGUUCUGGGCGUAUAUGUUUAUACGCGCCCAGUCAUUUGAAAGGUAGCGCGGGCUGUAUUUGCCACUGCUCUUUGAUCAAGGCGUACUAGUUCUCUAUGGAGAUCCACUUGCGCCAGUGUACGGUCAUUGAGCCUUUGUGCUGGCUAACGGUCUGCGGAAUCCUAUACGUGUAUUUUCAUGUAUAGCAUGUGUUGUCCGCUAGCAGUUUGCUAGCCUUUUGCGUGACAACUCUGAUCUUGAUCUCAAAUCAGG
rnacentral:misc_RNA from 1 species